GCCGAUGUAGCUCAGCUGGUCAGAGCAGCUGAUUUGUAAUCAGCAGGCCGGGGGUUCGAAUCCCUUCAUCGGCU
rnacentral:tRNA from 2 species